rnacentral:sRNA from 3 species
ACGGUUGGUGGCGUACCUCCCUCUUGCGGGCGGUGUAAUCGCGCAUAGCUGUCAUCUGACAAUGCAGAUUUCCUGAGCCCGCACCUGAUGCGGGCUUUUUUAU